ACUGCUGCUACUACACGAGUACACGAUUUGUCUGAACAUGAGAAGAGGAGAAGAAGAAGAAGAAGAAGACAUCGUCUGGUUGGACCAGUCGUUCUUCAUGAACGACAACUACGAGCUCACGACGUUCUCAUUCGGCUCUCAAGUUCUUCAGCUCUACUGCCUACAAUCUGCUUCCACUGAUUUUGAUUUGACGGGACAGUUGGUUUGGCCUGGGGCAGUACUCUUGAACGAUUAUCUUGCAAAGAAUGCUGACAUCCUCCAAGGAUGUUCUGUUAUUGAGCUUGGCUCUGGCGUUGGUAUAACUGGAAUACUGUGCAGCAAAUUUUGUCGUGAAGUUGUGAUGACAGACCACAAUGCUGAGGUCCUCAAGAUCCUGAAGAAAAACAUCGAUCAUGUUUCUUCUGAUAUUUCCAUUCCUCAUGCUGGUUUAAAAGCUGAGAAGCUGGAAUGGGGCAAUACUGAUCAGCUCAGUUAUAUCUUACAAGGGCAUCCUGAAGGAUUUGAUCUAGUUCUUGGAGCUGACAUUUGUUUUCAGCAGGCGAAUGUUCCUUUGCUCUUUGAUACUGUGGAGCAGCUACUCAAAGUUCGUGGUGGAAACAAAUGCAAAUUUAUAUUGGCAUAUGUAUCACGAGCAAAAGUAAUGGAUGCCAUGGUCAUUAAUGAAGCAACUCGACAUGGUUUGCAGAUAAGUGAAGUAGCUGGGACACGAUCUGUGGUAAAAAAUCUUGAAGGGCUCAUAUUUGAGAUAAAGAUUAGGGAGUAGAAUUGGACUCUGACUACAAGAAUUCUCAAGCAAACGAGGAAGUCAGAUUUUAACUGGCUUCAUAAUACAUGUUUCACACCUCUUAUGCAUUUCAGCAUUCCAGGAAGAAGAAUAUGUGUCCAUGAAUUUGGAUCUGGACAGGAUGCAAUUUACAGAAUUACAGUGUCAAACACCCCCUACAAAGGUAAACAGUUUUUACGGUUUUACCCACUGACCACUAAAAAGAAUAACCUCAUGAAAAUGUAGACUUCAUUGGAUUUCUUCAAUUCUUCCCCUAAAAACUGCUAUUUCAAGUGUGCCUGUUCUGGCAAUCUAUUCCAGGACUUCAGCAGGCCAUAGCCGCUUCCACGUAGAGAUUACUUCUCUGCUCUCAACUUUCUGGAUUCCUCCGUAGAACCCAUCUGUCUCGUUUCCUUCCUCACGAUGGUCUUUUCUUCUAACACUCGUUCUUCUCCACCGCGAACCAGGUGAAUACUGAUUGAACUCGAGCACUACAGUAUCUGCACAGCAUAUGAGAUGGCCAGAAUUGUUUAUUAGCUUUGUGAUCAUAUUUAAUUAAGAACAGACUAGGAUUGAUGAAUCAUGGCACAAAAAAAUGAAUUCAAUGUUUCUUGCA